rnacentral:rRNA from 1 species
UACGUAGGGAGCGAGCGUUGUCCGGAUUUAUUGGGCGUAAAGAGCUCGUAGGCGGUUUGUCGCGUCUGCUGUGAAAACCUAAGGCUCAACCUUGGGCUUGCAGUGGGUACGGGCAGACUAGAGUGCGGUAGGGGUGACUGGAAUUCCUGGUGUAGCGGUGGAAUGCGCAGAUAUCAGGAGGAACACCAGUGGCGAAGGCGAGUCCCUGGACGAUACCUGACACUGGAGGCACGAA